rnacentral:misc_RNA from 1 species
GAUGAAGAACGUAGCGAAAUGCGAUAAGUAAUGUGAAUUGCAGAAUUCAGUGAAUCAUCGAAUCUUUGAACGCACAUUGCGCCCGCUAGUAUUCUGGCGGGCAUGCCUGUCCGAGCGUCAUUUCAACCCUCAAGCCCCUGGGCUUGGUGUUGGGGAUCGGCGAGCCUCCGCGCCCGCCGUCCCCUAAAUCUAGUGGCGGUCUCGCUGUAGCUUCCUCUGCGUAGUAGCACACCUCGCACUGGGAAACAGCGCGGCCACGCCGUUAAACCCCCAACUUCUGAACGUUUGACCUCGGAUCAGGUAGGAAUACCCGCUGAACUUAAGCAUAUCAAUAAGCGGAGGA